rnacentral:lncRNA from 1 species
CAGGUGCGUGGGCUGAGCCAAGAAAAUCGCCCACAGGCUCAGGUGCGUGUGAGGCACGUUGAAAUACUCGCGCCUUGGCGCCCGAGCGUAACCGUUUCAACCAACAGCUUUCGCUUCUGCGUUUCUCGCCCCCUCGCCGGAGCUCCAAGAAACCAAGAACCCACCAUCCAUCCCCACCUCCGCCGCGCAGCGCCCAUCGCCGACGACAGAUGGAGCAGUUCCAGGACGGCCACCACGUGCGGCUGCGGAGCCGCGAGCGCGGCACGUACCUGCACGCCGACGAGGACGGCCGUGGCGUCUCCCUCCGCCGGCCCCGGGCGUCGAUGAACGCCGCCUGGGCGGUGCACCUGUUCGAUGGCGCUAACAACGCCCAGUACGUGCUCCUCCACAGCGCCGCCUAUGGCCGCUACCUGGCGGCCAUGGACGCACCGGCGCCGCCAGGCCACCGCGGGCGCCGCGUCGAGCAGCGCAACUACGAGGAACGGGAGGAGGAGGCUGUCAGGUGGGAGCCCGUCAGGUUCGGCACCGGAGACUACACCCUGCUCCGCCACGUCACCGGCCGCUUCCUCCGCGCCAACGGGAAGUACCUCCCCUGGAACAACGGCGCCAGCGUCGACGACUUCGACAGCGUCAGCAGGAUGACGCACUGGGUCGUCGAGCGCAUCCCCGCCACGGAGGGCAUGCCUGAGGUGAGCACGCCAUGCCCGCUUCUUGACUCUUCCCGAUUUUGCACGAAUUUGUUUAUUUGCGCCCGAAUCCAACCGCGUGGAUGGCAGAGUGUGUUGAUUUCACUCGCUCGCCUGGGAGCAAUUCAUGGCUCUGUUCUUGGCAUCUUGCAAAAAUUGCGUUUCCUGGGAGCAGUUCUUGGUUGCCAUCUCUGUUUCUUAACGUCUUCCGUCUCUGUUCGCAACUGCAGCUCCCCCUCGCCGGAAGCCUCGACGCCCUGUUGCCGCGGCGGUGGAUCGUGUACGCCUCGGUGGACCACACCGUCUGGGCUGCGCUCGAUUUCAAGGGGAGGUCUGUGUUCCGCCUGAGGGGCGAGCUGGCCAGCCAGAUGGGCAUCAACGACGCCUCCAACCUCGUCAUGUGUGUCCAGGCGGGUACUAGCGGGCGGCCGACCCCACUCGUCGUCAACCUACCCCGCGGCAGCCGGACCCUUCACAUCGUCGUCGUCAUGGCCGGGGAGCCAGGCCCAGGUGAGAGCCCCAGCUUCAACUUGUGUAACGAAACUGUUAAGUCCCAAAAGCAGUUUACUGAAACUGCUGCUACUCUGGUUCAGUUAAGACUUGGGUCUGAAGCUAAUUAGAUUUAGCUGGGGAGCCAGGCCCAGGUGUGAACUGUUGUGUUAGAUAUGGUUGAAUGGAAGUAGUUGAAUGCUAGAAAGUGGUCUGAAGCUAAUUAGAUUUAGCUGUUGGGAGAAAAACAUUUUAUAAACACAUCCACAUAGAGAAGACACCUUGCCUUGACUUGAAAGUUAUUGGUUUUGAACUGUCCAUGAUUUAGUAGGAAACUUUGGAACUUGAAAACCCAAAUCUGGUUCAGUCAUCCUUGUUUAGCUUUACAGAGAAGACACUGAUUUCAAAUUGAUUUAGCCAAUUCUUCGAGAUUAUUUUUGAGCAAAAUUAAUUGUGUAAAUAAAACUCAGGAUUACUCUUAAGCUAGCUUCUUUCAAUACAUGUUUUUCAGGUUUUGUACUUCAGUUGAGCUCCUUAAGUAUCUAGUUAUUGACUUGUUAUAGCAAAAUUAUGAGAGUAUUUUUGAAGAUUAGUAGACGGCAAAAACACACAUUUUUAGUCUUGAUCUAGUUUUGCAUGUUGGUGGAUACUAUUUUGUCAAUGACCAUGCUUGUGCUGUAAAGUAGAGGUUAACUGGAAACUAAUGUUCAGAUUUCUUCAGAGAGACACUAAAUGAAACAGCAGGUGUUUACAAACGUGAUCUAAAGCUAGUUGGUUAUUGGGACAAGUCACAUAUUCACACUAAAACCUUGAUACAGAAAUUAUUGGUUUCAUACUACUGUCCUUGAUACAGAUAUUUAGUUUCCCAUUUGGUAUUAUUUGCCUCUAGUAUAAACUUUGGAACUUAGAAACCCUAAUCUGUCAAGUCAUGCACUUUAAGCGUUAUAGAGAAGAUACCGAUUUCUGUUUCAUUUAGCAUAUUGUAAAUGCUUUGAGUAACCUUUUGAACCAAAUUCAGGUGUUAUACUAUAGUAUUUCAUAAAAGCUAGUUUCUGUACAUUAUACUGUUGUUUUUCAGGUUUUGUGCAUAAGCUGUCUUCUUCGUUAGCUCUGCAAAACAGUGAUGUUGAAGUUAUUAAUCUUUUCCAGUGGUUUUAUUAGCUGUGACAUGGUGCCUGACUUCCUCACUUCCUGUUCUAAUUCAGAUAACCUCGCGCUGCGGUACCCGGAUGUCAGUGCAGAGUAGAAAAGGAUAAGAGCAUGGCUCCCUAGCGUUGCCCUGUCAGUCCACCUCUUCAGAAGUGUGGCCACGAUAACAUGAGAACUCAGAACUGCAUUUCUCAUUGAGAUAUAAGUCCAGGAAAACCCCAGCAACUCCGGUCAUUCUGUUAUUCAUUCAUUUUCCAAGCAGGAAGAACCUGUCUGUUUCACCCUUGUGGUUCUGAACUUAAGAACCUCUGUGAACAUUGGUUCGUAAUGUUUGAUUUCUGUCUGCAACACAAGCGCUGCCGGGUGCAUUUCCUUUAGGUGUCAGCAAUGACGUGGUGGUUCUUGCAGUUAAUUAAGCACACGACUUUAGCUGUGCCUUUUCAGGUUUGAGUCCAUCUGCAGUGGAUUCUCAGGUGGACACCAUCGCUAGACAAAUCAACAAGCACCUUACAGGCACAGCACGGCUAAGAAAAGAGCACACAAAGAUCAGUGAUUUCCUUUUUUUUUAGAAAAGGAGGAGAAAGAUCAGUGACUUCUAGCACCCCUUUCAACAGGAAUGGGGUUGCCUUACUUUUGCUUACUGAUCUCCAUGUCCCCGGCUUCCUACGCUGCAUCUUUGGUUUUGUUUUAAUGGAGGGCUAUUCAGCUUGCGUGAUGAAACUGUUAGUCACAAAAAAAAACAGUUUACUGAAACUGCUGCUACUCUGGUUCAGUUAAGACUUGGGAGUUUCUCUGAACUGCUGCAUUAGAUAUAAGUAGAAGUAGUUGAACUCUAGAAAGUGGUCUGAAGCUAAUUAGUUGUUGGAAAAAAAUAUUUUAUAAACACGUAUUCACACUCAACCUUGAUUUGAAAACUAUUGGUUUUGAACCUUGAUUUUAGAUGAACCCAGUUCUUCAAUUUAAUCUAUAUGCCAUUAGUAGUAAUCUUUGGAACUUGAAAAGCCAAAUCUGGUUCAGGCAUCCUAGUUUAGCUUUACAGAGAAAACACUGAUUUCUAAUUGUUUGGAGUAAGGUAUGAACAAAAUUCAGUAUGUAUCCCACAGCACUACGUGAAAGGUAGCUUCUUUCAAUACAUUGUUUUCAGGUUUUGUACAUCAGUUGUAUUCCUUAAUUAUCUAGUUAUUGACUUGUUAUAGCAAAAUUAUGAGUUAUUUUUUUAUGAUGAGUAAAUGGCAAGAAACACACUUUUUUAGUCUUCAACUUGUUUUGCAUGUUGGUGGAUAUUAUUUUGUGAAUGACAUGCUUGUGCUUUAGUAAGUACUCCCUCCGUUCCUAAAUAUAAGUCUUUUAAGAGAUUUCACUAGUGGACUACAUACGGAACAAAAUAAACGAAUGUACACUCUAAAGUAUGUCUAUAUACAUCCGUAUGUAGUUUCCUUGUGAAACCUCUAAAAAGACUUAUAUUUAGGAACGGAGGGAGUAGAAGUUAAAUGGAAAGUAAUGUUCAGAUUUCUNNNNNNNNNNNNNNNNNNNNNNNNNNNNNNNNNNNNNNNNNNNNNNNNNNNNNNNNNNNNNNNNNNNNNNNNNNNNNNNNNNNNNNNNNNNNNNNNNNNNNNNNNNNNNNNNNNNNNNNNNNNNNNNNNNNNNNNNNNNNNNNNNNNNNNNNNNNNNNNNNNNNNNNNNNNNNNNNNNNNNNNNNNNNNNNNNNNNNNNNNNNCGUUCCUAAAUAUAAGGUGUAUUAGUUUUUAAAAAGUCAACUGUUGUCUAUGUUUGACGAACAUUAUAGAAAAAUAUAUUAAUAUUUACAAUACCGAAUAUAUAUAAUAUAAAAAUAUAUUUUAGGGUGAAUCUAAUGAUAAUGAUUUCAUAUUCUAGACAUUGAUAUUUUUGUCAAUAAACAUGGUCAAAGUUUAAAAACUUUGACUUUUUAAAAAAAAUAAUACACCUCAUAACUAGGAACGGAUGGAGUAGUAGGUAUUUACAAAACAACACAGAACCAAUGGGCAACACAGAGCGCAUAAUUGUAGGUAAACGUUUACGGCCGGUGCGCCGCCCUGAACGCUCGGGCCGGUCGCUUCCCCACGCCGGUGCUCCAACCAUCAGGAAGGUAACACGUGUACCUUAUCCUUUCCCCAACGUCCGCGUCCAUUCUUUUUUCUUCUUCCUCGUGACUUUUUUCUGCCAGCAAACUCCAUGAAUCCAGGCAGCCUCAACUCCUGCCUCCUAUGUCGUUCGCGUGCUUGAGAAACAUUGACGUGUCGUUUGCAUGGUCACACUCGCCGCCAUGGACGGGCUCUUCAUCAUGGCCACGCCGUCGUCCUCGAUUUUUUGCUACAACCAGGCAAGGGAGGGGGGGGGGGGCGGCAACCNNNNNNNNNNNNNNNNNNNNNNNNNNNNNNNNNNNNNNNNNNNNNNNNNNNNNNNNNNNNNNNNNNNNNNNNNNNNNNNNNNNNNNNNNNNNNNNNNNNNNNNNNNNNNNNNNNNNNNNNNNNNNNNNNNNNNNNAAGGGGGGGGGGGGGGGGAGCUGCAACCAUGGGUACAAGAGCUGGAACCGUAGUUGAGCAGAGCUGCAACGACGGUCCGGUGGAGUUGCAUGGUCACCACGGUCACCAUUGAGUCUUGCUACAACCGGCCUUCAAAUUUGCUACAACCAUCCACUGAAAAAGUUGCAUCCCACGUUCGUCAGAGUUGCAAACCCGAGUUCGCCGGAUUUUUUUUGCCACAACCUGUGUGGAUUUUUGCUACAACCGGUCACUAAAAAUGCUGCAUCCACAUUCGUCAGAGUUGCACCCUGAGUUCGUCGGAUUUAUUUUAUUACAACCGGUAUCAAUUUUUGCUACAUGGCUGGAGCUAGCGUGGAGCGUGGGUGCGCGCCGCCGUGAGGGAGCCUGAGCGCGCGCAGACGGCCGAAGGAGUCGACCUUGAGGAGCAUCCCGAUGACCAGUGCGGACGGCGACGCGAAGCAGAGGCCAAGCUCGGAGGAACGAGUGCCGCGAAGCUCGCAGCUGCGAUGCGAAGGAAAAGGGGAGACGCAAGGAGGAAGACACGAUUCAGAGAGAAUAAGAUCUAAACGGUUCAGGAUGCACUAAUCGAACGAUCGCGCAACGACCGACCGAAACGAUUGAAUCGGUGCGCCGGCACAGAAUACAACCCAUAAUUAAACAUUACUCGCCUUGCCCGAAAUGGCACGGGCAACAGUUGGGGCAGACAAGUCCCUCCACAUCCAGCCACACCAAGCCUUUGCAUGCAUGUCCGCCCAGGCUAGCGGACCCGAUAAGACCAAUGGCCGGAAAAACGACACACACAAGUGCACAACCCUGAUAGGCUGGCCUCACACGAUCGAAUUUACGGUUUUAACCAUUUUUCCUAUUUUAGCCCGUUCUGACCUGUUUGUGAAAAAUAUUAGAUCUGCUAUUUUCUUUUUUCCUACCGUCACAGACCCUACCACCGCUUCUUAUGGUGGCAGGGGCCGGGUUUGCAGACAUCGACGUUUGACCCGUUGAUCCGACCCCUACCGUCACAACGAGUGACGGUAGGUAUCUAUAUAUAUAUCAUCACAACGGAUGGCGAUAGGAAAAAGGACCAGAUCCCAUUUUUUUCACAAACGUGGUUAGGUCUAAUGUUAGAAAAAAGGGCCAAAACAGUAAAAACGGCCGCCUCAUGCACCACCGACGUUGGGAGCUCCUAUUGAGCGCUGGCCGCGGCCCAUUAAAAAAUCGCUCCCCAUUGCUUUCGCUCGCCUCGCUAGGUUUUUUGGGCUGUGCUACGCUAUUGGUUCAGGAAAAAGACCUGCUCCAGUUUUUAAAAUUUUGAAUAUGCUGUAUAAAUAAAUAAAAUCAUAGAUUCAUUAAAAAGUGAAAAAAGGGUUCACAGAUCUGAACAAAGUUUAUCAAUUUUGAAAAAAGUUCAUUGGAUUUGAAAAAAAUUAGUGAUUCUGAAAAACGUUCAUCAAAUUUGGGGAAAAAUAUUUUUUAAAGUUAAUCGAAUUUGAAAAAAGUUCAUCAAAUUUGAAAAAGGUCAUUGGAAAAAGUUCAUAGAAAUUUUAAAAAGUGCAUCAAAACUUAAAAGGUUCAUAGAAAUUGAAAAGAAAUUGAUUCAAUUUAUAAAAAGUUCACUAAAUUCGAAAAAAAUUCAUCAAAAUUUUAAAAAGUUCAUGGAUUUUAAAAAGAAAUCAUCAAAAUCGACAAAAUUUCAUUGAAUUCAAAAAUUAGUUCAUGAAGUUGAAAACAAAAGUUCAUGUAUUUGCGGGCAACUCAUCAGGCAAGGAAAAAAGAAGAAGAAAACAAUAACAAAGAAAGGAAAGCAAAAAAAAAAUGAAUAAAAGGCAUAUAGGUUAAAAUGUAAGCACAACCGCGCUUGUUGACGGGAUGGUUACACCAGCCAACCUUUGACGGGGAGGUCGCAAGUUUGAAUCUUGCACCUGUGCGCUCUUUAUUUUCCGGUUUUAAUUUAUAAGGAGGAAAUCAAAAUGGACCGAGCCCAAGUAGCGGCGCCCGUUUGCAAACGGGCGCAUAAGCACCAAAUAGGGAUUGCCGGCGUUGCUGCCGCGAUGUAGGAGGGAACCGACCCAACACGAGGGCAGCAGAGUUGACAAUGGGCCCCACAAGAGAACCGGUGGUGUGAAUGCAACAACGAAUCCGGUUGGCGCGAGCGAACCAGCUCGAUAGAGGGAUCUCCACAUGCUAGCCGGCACUGCGACGACCAAUCCGCACACUCGACAUCACCCAAUGACGUUGGGCCCAAGUGCUCACCCACGGUUCACCCAUCAUGGACAGCCGAGGCCGGUCGCACAAGAGGCCCCUGCGGCACACACAGGAGACGGGGGCGGCUCACCUACCUUCCUCACAACCUUCUCUGUUGGUUCCUUCUUUCUCAUGAGACCAUCCGGCACACCCUUCAAUUAUUGUCCAUGCCUGAGUCUUACCCACUUUAUAAUCCUCCACAUUGCUAAAAGCAUCGUGCUCUUGCAUCACUACAACUGCAUCCCGAAACAACCGCCGACCUCCAUCCAUCACCUCCAAGACAAUGAGAAAUAGUGAAGCAUUACGUCCUAUGCACGGCCCACAAGCCCAUGUAGCGCCGAAAGCAGAGCACGGCGGCCUUCAAAUACAGAUACUCCGGCUUGGCGCCCAACGUAACCGUCUCAACCAACAGCUUUUCCUCCUCCUCGCCGAAGCGCCAAGAAACCAAGAACCCACCAUCCCCGCCCCUCCUCCCCCCAGCUCGGUUUCUCCAGCGUCACCGGCGAGGCGGCGACCGAUGGAGCAGUCCCCGGACGGCCACCACGUGCGGCUGCUAAGCCGCGAGCGCGGGACGUACCUGCACGCCGACGACGACGGGCUUGGCGUCUCCAUCCAGAGGCUUCGUGUGUCGAUGAACGUGGCUUGGUUGGUGCACCUGUACCAGGGCCAGUACCUUCUCCUCUAGAGCGCGGCCUAUGGUGGCUACCUAGCCGUCACGGGCGCACCGGCUCGGCGCGGCCACCGCGUCGAGCAGCGCAUCUACUAUCACCCGGAGGUGGAGCCGAUGCUUUGGCAGGCCGUCCAGUUGGAGGGACUCUUCCUCAACCACUUCAACAACGGCAACCUCCGCGCCAAUGGGAGGUACCGCCGGUGGAACAACGGCGUCAGCGUCAACCGAGCCUCAAGAAUUUUGAAGGACUGAUUAUUCCCUCGCUGAGAAACACCAUUAUGUGCGGCUCGCCUACCUUCCUCACAACCUUCUUUGUUGGUUCCUUCUUUCUCAUGAGACCAUCCGACACACCCUUCAAUUAUUGCCCAUGCCAGAGUCUUACCCAGAUUAUAAUCCUCUACAUUGCUAAAAUCAUCAUGCUCUUGCAUCACUACAACUGCAUCUCGAAACAACCGCGGGCCUCCAUCCAUCACCUAUUUCCAAUCCCCCAUACAACUAAGCUCAACAAUGAAUGAAUUUUCUCCCAUUGUCUUGAAGGUAAUUUUUCAUGUCGACGCUCACGCAAUGCUUUUCACGUUAAACAUAGCAGCAUUACUAAACGAUAUAGUGGUACGGACUCUGAUGAUCGCCAGCCACUUAACCACACUGAUCAGAUCCUCUAACUCUUGCAGAGAAAUCCAGGUCCGGCUCUUCCUCACCAUGCAGAUUGAGUCCUCAAAAUGAUCUUCCAGAGACGGUUCCGGUGCCCAAUUGCCUCCCUCCUUAUCUUCUUAGAUCCAUCUCCCUCCCCACUACUUACUGGAUACACCCCGAGAGGUACUUCCUUCUCUGACUCCUCUAGCAUUUGACUAGAACCCCCUCCCAUCGACAGAUCGCCGAUGGAAUGUGAGGAAAUUGGACUUCAGUGUGAUCGCCAAGGAUGGGUAAACCCUAGAAAACUAGGGGGAAACUGUUUAGCUUUUUAGUUUUUUUUUUGAGACAUCUGUAUAUUUUAGCUUAAAUGAGAAAGAGUGAAGUAUUACAUUCUAUGCACGGCCCACAAGCUCACAAGCCCACGUAGCGCCAAAAGCAGAGCACGGCGGCCUUCAAAUACAGAUACUCCGGCUUGGCGCCCAACGUAACCGUCUCAACCAACAGCUUUUCCUCCUCCUCGCCGGAGCGCCAAGAAACCAAGAACCCACCACACCAUCCCCGCCCCUCAUCCCCGCCGGAGUGCCUCUGAUAUCCAGCGUCACCGGAGAGGCGGCGAUCGAUGGAGCAGUUCCAGGACGGCCACCACGUGCGGCUGCGGAGCCGCGAGCGCGGGACGUACCUGCACGCUGACGACGACGGGCUUGGCGUCUCCAUCCAGAGACUUCGCGUGUCGAUGAACGUGGCUUGGUUGGUGCACCUGUACCGGGGCCAGUACCUUCUCCUACAGAGCGCCGCCUACGGUGGCUACCUCGCCGUCACGGGCGCACCGGCUCGGCGCGGCCACCGCGGCCUCCGCGUCGAGCAGCUCAGCUACUAUCACCCGGAGGUGGAGCCGAUGCUUUGGCAGGCCGUCCAGUUGGAGGGACUCUUCCUCAACCACUUCAACAGCGGCAACCUCCGCGCCAAUGGGAGGUACCGCCGGUGGAACAACGGCGUCAGCGUCGACCGCAUCGAGGACGUCAACAACAUCAGCACGAUGAUGCACUGGGUCGUGGAGGCCAUCCCCGCCAGGGAGAUCAUGCCUCGCCUUCCACGUCCGCUUCUGGUGAGUCCGCCAUGUCCGCUUCUUGAUUCUUC